UACGUAGGGUGCAAGCGUUAAUCGGAAUUACUGGGCGUAAAGCGUGCGCAGGCGGUUUUGUAAGUUUGUCGUGAAAGCCCCGGGCUCAACCUGGGAAUGGCGAUGAAGACUGCAAGGCUUGAAUCUGGCAGAGGGGGGUAGAAUUCCACGUGUAGCAGUGAAAUGCGUAGAGAUUUGGAGGAAUACCAGUGGCGAAGGCGGCCCCCUGGGUCAAGAUUGACGCUCAUGCACGAAAGCGUGGGGAGCAAACAGG
rnacentral:rRNA from 1 species